AACGAACGCUGGCGGCAGGCCUAACACAUGCAAGUCGAGCGCCCCGCAAGGGGAGCGGCGGACGGGUGAGUAACGCGUGGGAACGUGCCCUUUGCUACGGAAUAGCCCCGGGAAACUGGGAGUAAUACCGUAUAAGCCCUACGGGGGAAAGAUUUAUCGGCAAAGGAUCGGCCCGCGUUGGAUUAGGUAGUUGGUGGGGUAAUGGCCUACCAAGCCGACGAUCCAUAGCUGGUUUGAGAGGAUGAUCAGCCACACUGGGACUGAGACGCGGCCCAGACUCCUACGGGAGGCAGCAGUGGGGAAUCUUAGACAAUGGGCGCAAGCCUGAUCUAGCCAUGCCGCGUGAGCGACGAAGGCCUUAGGGUUGUAAAGCUCUUUCGUGGGGGAAGAUAAUGACUGUACCCCAAGAAGAAGCCCCGGCUAACUCCGUGCCAGCCGCCGCCGUAAGAC
rnacentral:rRNA from 1 species